AAAAGUAUUGUUAGGAAAAGAGGGUAGGCAAUCAAGAAUUCAAGAAGUAUUAUUUAAAUAUUUGAAAAACAUAGGAAUAAUAAACAGAAUUUAGGUUUUAAAUAAUUUUUUUUUUUUCUUCCAAAUCUAUGCUCACUCCACACUCCAGAUCAGUAGGUGGCAGUAAUGCACCUUUUCGUUGGUUUGCCAAACCGCCAUAAAACACCAGAAGAAGAAGAAGAAGAAGAGACGAGAGAAAUUUAUGAGGAGAAUAGACGCGAUUUUCGCGUUUCUUGGAGGAUUUAAAAACGAGAAUCUUGCUUGUAAUCAGAAGUUCUGCCCGCAUUUUUACCCCGAGGAGUUGACUCGUUAUUACUUCGGACUGUUUCAUCCACACCCAUAAAGUGAUUGAGACCUUCAGUGAAGCUACAACAAUCCACCAAUAAAUGCUGGAGUCAAACACACAGAGAAAUCACUCCAUGUGUGACAACUGAAAUCUUCAUGACAUAAUGUUGAUGCUGGUGAAAGAAGAGCUUGAGAAGAUGACAGAUCCACAGCCAUGCAGAAUAAAGGAUGAAGAUACUGAGGAACAAAUAGAUACGCUUGGAGCUUCCUGAUCAGACUGGUCAGAAUGUUGGCUUCAGACGACCCCUAUACUGAAUGGCAUGGCAUGCAAUCACGUCCUCCUUUGAAGGUCUCUAAAACUGUGAUGCCAGGUCCAUUGGAAUCAGGGUUUCCUUCAGCUUAUCUUAAAAUACCUCAUCAAACACAAGUCUGAUUAAGUCAUCCACAUGACUGCAAAAAUAUUGCAGUCAAUAAAUCUUUUGUUUUGAUCAUUUAUUUCCGUGCUUCAUACAUUACGUUUUUAUUUAUGAAUAUAUUUGAAAUAAGAACUUUACUGCUUACAGAAUGUUGCUUGUUUUUACUGGCCUUUGCAAUGUAUUUCCCCCUUUUAGAAUUUGGGAGCAUAACCUUGUUUUUAAAAUAUUCCCAUAUAGACAGUCUGUUGAAGUUAUAAAGAAAUGGUUGAUGAUGUAUUUUUGAUGGGGAACGUGUAAAUCUAAUUUUAGUUUUAGUGCUGUGAAUUUGGACUGAACAUCACACUUCUCUUAUGCCUUAAACCAUUUGUAAAAUAAAUUAUUGUUUCGUAAACAGUGUAAUUUUUUUAUUAAUGUUUUAUGUCAGAUAUCAUUAAGUGUUUUUAUGUGAUUUAUAUUUAUAUUUGAUUUAUAUUUGUUUUAUAUUUAUGAUAAAAUGUAUGGUUUAUCAAA